GACAGAGGGUGCAAACGUUGUUCGGAAUUACUGGGCGUAAAGCGUGUGUAGGCGGCCAUAUAAGUCGGAUGUGAAAGCCCAGGGCUCAACCCUGGAAGUGCACUCGAUACUGUAUGGCUCGAGUACUGGAGAGGUUGGUGGAAUUCUCGGUGUAGAGGUGAAAUUCGUAGAUAUCGAGAGGAACACCGGUGGCGAAGGCGGCCAACUGGACAGAUACUGACGCUGAGGCACGAAAGCGUGGGGAGCAAACAGG
rnacentral:rRNA from 1 species